rnacentral:rRNA from 1 species
GACGAACGCUGGCGGCGGGCUUAACACAUGCAAGUCGAACGGAAAGGCCCUGCUUUUGUGGUGUUCCCGAGGGGCGAACGGGGGAGUAACACGUGAGUAACCUGCCCUUGACUUUGGGAUAACUUCAGGAAACUGGGGCUAAUCCCGUAUAGGAGCUCCUGUUCCAUUGUGGGGGUUGGAAAGUUUCGGCGGUUGGGGAUGGACUCGCGGCUUAUCAGCUUGUUGGUUGGGUAGGGGCUUACCAAGGCUGUGACGGGUAGCCGGCAUGGGAGGGUGACCGGCCACAUUGGGCCUGCGAGACGGAGCAGACUCGAACAGGAGGCAGCAGUGGGGAGUAUUGCCCAGUGGGAGGACGCCUGAUGCAGAAACGUUGCGGGCGGGAUGACGGCUUUUGGGUUGUAAACCGCUUUCGCCUGUGACGAAGCGUGAGUGACGGUAAUGGGUAAAGAAGCACCGGCUAACUACGUG